rnacentral:rRNA from 1 species
GGGCCCGCACAAGCAGCGGAGCAUGUGGUUUAAUUCGAAGCAACGCGAAAAACCUUACCAGGGCUUGACAUCCAAUAAAGGGGAUGGAAACAUCCUCGUGCCCUUCGGGGAAUAUUGAGACAGGUGGUGCAUGGUUGUCGUCAGCUCGUGUCGUGAGAUGUUGGGUUAAGUCCCGCAACGAGCGCAACCCUUAUGAUUAGUUGCCAGCGGGUAAAGCCGGGAACUCUAGUCAGACUGCCGUGGAUAACACGGAGGAAGGUGGGGACGAUGUCAAAUCAUCAUGCUCCUUAUGUCCUGGGCUACACACGUGCUACAAUGGCCGUUACAAAGAGAAGCAAGUAUGCAAAUACGAGCGAAACUGAAAAAAGCGGUCUCAGUUCGGAUUGUGGGCUGCAACCCGCCCACAUGAAGUCGGAGUUGCUAGUAAUCGCGAAUCAGCAUGUCG